UACGGAGGGUGCAAGCGUUAAUCGGAAUUACUGGGCGUAAAGCGUGCGUAGGUGGUGAGUUAAGUCUGAUGUGAAAUCCCCGGGCUCAACCUGGGAAUGGCAUUGGAUACUGGCUCGCUAGAGUGCGGUAGAGGGUGGUGGAAUUCCCGGUGUAGCAGUGAAAUGCGUAGAGAUCGAGAGGAACAUCUGUGGCGAAGGCGGCCACCUGGACCAACACUGACACUGAGGCACGAAAGCGUGGGGAGCAAACAGG
rnacentral:rRNA from 1 species